GGAAGGAAGGUAAAAAAAGAGCUACUGCAAUAAUGUGGCAACAUCAAGUGCCCAUGGACCAGAAACCCAGUGCAGCCAGUAGGACCAGCUCCACAGCAGCAAUGCCACCAAAGGCACAGCCUCUGCCCAGAGUUCAAGUGGCCCCUGUGCCCCACACAAGACAUUAAUAACUAGUAGUAGUAUGGCUUUUAAGUCAGCUCACCAACAGGAGGGCUAAUGGGUGAGAAAGCAAUGAAAAGCAGAACCUGCACACACUAUAAAGCACUCUACAUAAUGAGCACCCUUCUGUUAAACAAGGUCUUAAACCUGGUGAGGGUCUGCAUGUCACUUGAGGGUUGGGCAUCCUGGAUCCCUCUUCUUCUGAAGUGAACUGGUUUUAGUGUUAAAUACAAGAGAAGCCCCAAGUUCCAGUCCCCACUCUCUGACAAGUUUCCCACUACAGACAAAAAAAUUGAGAACAGCAAAGUUAAGUGAGCAUCCCAAGGUCACACAGCCAGGAAAGUUCUUUCUCUUCUCUUUUCCCUUUUCUCAGUGCUGGGAGACAAAGUCCAAAGCCUUGUGCAUGA